GUUUCAGCAGCCGCGGUAAUACGGAGGAUCCAAGCGUUAUCCGGAUUUAUUGGGUUUAAAGGGUGCGUAGGCGGCCUGUUAAGUCAGGGGUGAAAGACGGUAGCUCAACUAUCGCAGUGCCCUUGAUACUGAUGGGCUUGAAUGGACUAGAGGUAGGCGGAAUGAGACAAGUAGCGGUGAAAUGCAUAGAUAUGUCUCAGAACACCGAUUGCGAAGGCAGCUUACUAUGGUCUUAUUGACGCUGAGGCACGAAAGCGUGGGGAUCAAACAGGAUUAGAUACCCUGGUAGUCCACGCCCUAAACGAUGAACACUCGCUGUUGGCGAUACACAGUCAGCGGCUAAGCGAAAGCGUUAAGUGUUCCACCUGGGGAGUACGCCCGCAAGGGUGAAACUCAAAGGAAUUGACGGGGGCCCGCACAAGCGGAGGAGCAUGUGGUUUAAUUCGAUGAUACGCGAGGAACCUUACCCGGGCUUGAAAGUUAGUGAAUGAUCCAGAGAUGGAUCAGUGAGCAAUCACACGAAACUAGGUGCUGCAUGGCUGUCGUCAGCUCGUGCCGUGAGGUGUUGGGUUAAGUCCCGCAACGAGCGCAACCCCUAUGUUUAGUUGCCAGCACGUGAUGGUGGGGACUCUAAACAGACUGCCUGUGCAAACAGAGAGGAAGGAGGGGACGACGUCAAGUCAUCAUGGCCCUUACGUCCGGGGCUACACACGUGCUACAAUGGACGGUACAGAGGGCAGCUACAUAGCAAUAUGAUGCGAAUCUCACAAAGCCGUUCACAGUUCGGAUUGGGGUCUGCAACUCGACCCCAUGAAGUUGGAUUCGCUAGUAAUCGCGUUUCAGCAGCCGCGGUGAAUACGUUCCCGGGCCUUGUACACACCGCCCGUCAAAC
rnacentral:rRNA from 1 species